UGAGGAAUAUUGGACAAUGGGCGAAAGCCUGAUCCAGCCAUGCCGCGUGAGUGAAGAAGGCCUUCGGGUUGUAAAGCUCUUUCAGUGGGGAAGAAACUGACGUUACCCACAAAAGAAGCCCCGGCUAACUUCGUGCCAGCAGCCGCGGUAAUACGAAGGGGGCUAGCGUUGUUCGGAAUUAUUGGGCGUAAAGGGUGCGUAGGCCGUUUAGUAAGUUGAAGGUGAAAUCCCUAAGCUUAACUUAGGAAUUGCUUUCAAAACUGCUAAACUAGAGGUAGGUAGAGGAUAACAGAAUUCCUAGUGUAGAGGUGAAAUUCGUAGAUAUUAGGAGGAAUGCCGAAGGUGAAAACAGUUAUCUGGGCCUUACCUGACGCUGAGGCACGAAAGUGUGGGGAGCAAACAGG
rnacentral:rRNA from 1 species